rfam:Erinaceus europaeus unplaced genomic scaffold scaffold00971, whole genome shotgun sequence
GUGCUUGCUUCGGCAGCAUAUAUGCUAAAAUUGGGGUGGUUCAGAGAAGAUUAGUAUGUGCCCUGUGCAAGGGUGGCACACAGACUUGUGAAUUGGCUUCUAUUUUU